AUGUUGACACACUGGACACUUCCCUUGAGCUGAGUGUGUGUUCUGCUUCAAAACUGGACACCAACACAGAAAAAGUUACAGACCAGCCAUUGGACCUGUCAUUGUGCUCCUCCAGCUCAGUACCACAAAACUCUGAAGUCACAGGCCAGGCACUGGACUUGCUGGUGUGUUCUCCUAGCUCACCCCCAAAUGCUGAG